rnacentral:rRNA from 1 species
UACAGGGGGUGCAAACGUUGCUCGGAAUUAUUGGGCGUAAAGCGCGCGUAGGCGGUCUUGUAAGUCGGAUGUGAAAGCCCUUGGCUUAACCGAGGAAGUGCAUCCGAAACUGGCAGGCUAGAGUACUAAAGAGGGUCGCGGAAUUCCCGGUGUAGAGGUGAAAUUCGUAGAUAUUCGCAAGAACACCAGUGGCGAAGGCGGCUCACUGGCCCGGUACUGACGCUGAGGUGCGAAAGCGUGGGGAGCAAACAGG